GCCCGCCCUGAAUGAAUGCCCACGCGCUAUUCUCUCGGCGCGGUUUCGCUCAGCGCGUUUAUACGUCCGAUCGGCUGAUUAAUGCAGUGAAAUGAGACCCGCAAGAGAAUCUGGACGCGCGGAGCGUGCCAUCGUCUUUUCACAGAAUCAACACUCAAACUGAAUCAUAUAAACUAAUUUUGAAUUAAAAGUGCUCAUGUUGUGGUGAUAUGUGACAGAAAAUUUAAUUACAGUGUGAAAACUUGUAAACGCUGAGAAAACUUGUGCUAAACUGAGGUGGAAAUGUCAGUGGUUACGAAUGUUACGAUGGAUUAUGAGUGUUGGCUUACAGAAACGACGACGCGGUAGAGAAUUGGAGGACCCUGAGGACUGGUUGCAAUUGGCGUUCGUGUCCUUCAGGUACAACUGCCAGGUGGCCGUCGAAUUGAAACUCUUGUCGGCGGCGUAGCACCGCCAGAGGCUUUGGAUAAGCAUGGCCGCCGCUGGAAUCUGACGGUUGAAGUGCUUCUGGCGCUGCUUCUGUUGCACCUUUAGUGCAAAACCCGAACCGACUGGAAGAGCAAAGAACGAAAUGGCAAAAACGCUGAAACAUGACGCGACAAUCUUGCCCAUCCACGUGCGCGGCACUG